UACGAAGGGGCUAGCGUUGCUCGGAAUCACUGGGCGUAAAGGGCGCGUAGGCGGCUUAUAAGUCGGGGUGAAAGCCUGUGGCUCAACCACAGAAUUGCCUUCGAUACUGUAGAGCUUGAGACCGGAAGAGGUAAGUGGAACUGCGAGUGUAGAGGUGAAAUUCGUAGAUAUUCGCAAGAACACCAGUGGCGAAGGCGGCUUACUGGUCCGGUUCUGACGCUGAGGCGCGAAAGCGUGGGGAGCAACAGG
rnacentral:rRNA from 1 species